CCUCCGACCCGGCCGCCAACUCUCUCUCGGAGCUGCCCCGCCGCAUGGUGUUCAGGACAGGUGCCAAUGCCUAUGCCUCCGCCGCCGCCGCCUCCCCUCAGCCGGCCCGGCUCGCGACCAAACUGCCCUCGCUGCUACUGCUGCUACUGCUGCCACGCUUUCCCCGCCCGAGCUCGUUGCCAUGAUCUCUCAGGCUCUGGUUGACAGAGGCAGACCCCGCCCCCAGACGGGGCCCGAGAAGGGACAAUCGCCGACCAAACCCUGAAACCUCAUAGGCGAGGGUGCACACGUGGCCAGGCCUGUCACAGAGGUGAUUGCGGCCAUCUUGGAAGAGGGCGGAACCGCCCUGGCCCGCCGACCCUGAAAAUCCAUUAAAUUUCUGAGAACUUGGACCCUAGCAAGAAGAGGGUGGAGUCAAGAUCAAGAACCACUGAUGGGAUCUACUUGAAGACUCUGGGGACCCGUGGAGCUGUCCGUGGUACCCGCUGACUUCUUGGAAACCCUUGAAAUGUGUCAGUGGAAAAAUCCAACCCCACACGCACCUCCUCCAAGAGAAGCACCAGCUGUGGCUAUGGAAGAGCAGAGAAGGCCUGGGAUGAAGGAUGAGAACUCCUGCCCCGGUGCACAAGCGCGUGUCAGACAUAAACAGUGCACUGUUCUUGUGGCCCACAGUAUCCCAGUGCUGAGUUCCGUGCCUGGAAGAGGGCACUUACUCAGUAACUAUUGCUUUAAUGAAUAAAAAAAAUGAAACUGCUCAGAUAUUCAACUAUAAGGAAAUAGUUAAGCAACUGAGAGCAAAAGUGGUCUACGACAGCUUCAGCCUCCGAGGGAAAUGUGGAUGAUGUAACACGAAGGGAACGGGUGCAAGCAUUGUAAUUGCAAUGCUUAAAAACUGCUGUACGUAAACAGGGCCUGGAAGAAUAUAGAGACAAAUGAGAGCGGCUGUGACGCUGGAGACAUGAGAUCUUGCUGGAAUUUUUCCUCUCAAUUUUGCAGCAACCUUGUGGCUCUUCCUAUUCUUGAACGCAGAAAUCAGUCCCAUUUCUAGAGACUGCUGCUAAGAAUUGGCAGGACAAAGCUUUCUGUCGUACUGCUACUCAGGAGAGGAACUGGACUAGGCACUUUGCAGACCUGGCAUUUCCUCUUCGCAAAAGCUCUGGGAGAGAUGGGCCCCGCGUUUUACUGAUGGGGCAGGGAAUUACUACGCAGAAAGGAGAAGACUCUGACCCAAGUCACACAGCUAACAAGGGCAGAGACAAGAGUCUCACUCAGGAUGGUCUGACACUAGCAUCCAGCUCCCAAAAACCCCACACCAAGCUUCUGUCCACAGGAAUAUUCAACAUAUGUUUAAACAUAGCUGUACCCACAUGAACGCAUAGGUACGUAAGUAAACUCACACACUGACCAUAAGCUAUGAAAAAGUUAUAGUCAGAAAAAGGACUGGGAGCAAAUAUGCCCAAGUAUUAACAGUGAUUAUUCUGGAUGAUGGAAGUCAGGGUGCUUUAUCCUCUCCUUUAUUCUUUAUUAUUUUCUGUUUUCUAAAUUUUCUGCAGGGAGUAUGUAUUGCCUUGUUAACUGAAAAUUUAUUUUUAAAUAAAAAUAUUCACCAUGGCUGC
ensembl:lincRNA